rnacentral:rRNA from 1 species
CAGCAGCCGCGGUAAUACGUAGGGUGCAAGCGUUAAUCGGAAUUACUGGGCGUAAAGCGUGCGCAGGCGGUUAUGCAAGACAGAGGUGAAAUCCCCGGGCUCGACCUGGGGACUGCCUUUGUGACUGCAUGGCUAGAGUACGGUAGAGGGGGAUGGAAUUCCGCGUGUAGCAGUGAAAUGCGUAGAUAUGCGGAGGAACACCGAUGGCGAAGGCAAUCCCCUGGACCUGUACUGACGCUCAUGCACGAAAGCGUGGGGAGCAAACAGGAUUAGAUACCCUGGUAGUCCACGCCCUAAACGAUGUCAACUGGUUGUUGGGAGGGUUUCUUCUCUAGUAACGUAGCUAACGCGUGAAGUUGACCGCUCUGGGGAGUACGGCCGCAAGGUUGAAACUCAAAGAAAUUGACGG